rnacentral:rRNA from 1 species
GGCUCAGACAGCCAGGAUGUUGGCUUAGAAGCAGCCAUCAUUUAAAGAAAGCGUAAUAGCUCACUGGUCGAGUCGGCCUGCGCGGAAGAUGUAACGGGGCUAAGUAGUAAACCGAAGCUGCGGCAAUGUGCUUUUGCACAUUGGGUAGGGGAGCGUUCUGUAAGCGGUUGAAGGUGUGUGGUAACGCAUGCUGGACGUAUCAGAAGUGCGAAUGCUGACAUGAGUAACGAUAAAGGGGGUGAAAAACCUCCUCGCCGGAAGACCAAGGGUUCCUGUCCAACGUUAAUCGGGGCAGGGUAAGUCGACCCCUAAGGCGAGGCCGAAAGGCGUAGUCGAUGGGAAACGGGUUAAUAUUCCCGUACUUCUUACAAUUGCGAUGGGGGGACGGAGAAGGCUAGGUGGGCCUGGCGACGGUUGUCCAGGUUCAAGUGCGUAGGCUUAAGAGUUAGGUAAAUCCGGCUCUUUCUAAGGCUGAGACACGACGUCGAGCACCUACGGGUGUGAAGUCAUUGAUGCCAUGCUUCCAGGAAAAGCCUCUAAGCUUCAGAUUGUAAGGAAUCGUACCCCAAACCGACACAGGUGGUCGGGUAGAGAAUACCAAGGCGCUUGAGAGAACUCGGGUGAAGG